rnacentral:rRNA from 1 species
GACGAACGCUGGCGGCGUGCCUAAUACAUGCAAGUCGAACGCAGUGGGGUCGGGUGAGCAACACGUGGGUAACCUCCCAUCAGAGGGGAUAACACUUGGAAACAGGUGCUAAACCGAUACUGAUGGAUGGACCCGGGGUGCAUUAGCUAGUUGGUGGGGUAACGGCUCACCAAGGCCACGAUGCAUAGCCGGCCUGGUAGGGUGAGCGGCCACACUGGGACUGAGGCACGGCCCAGACUCCUACGGGAGGCAGCGGGGGGGAAUCGUCGGCAAUGGACGAAAGUCUGACCGAGCAACGCCGCGUGAGUGAAGAAGGUUUUCGGAUCGUAAAACUCUGUUGUUAGAGAAGCGGUAUCUAACGAGAAAGCCACGGCUAACUACGUGCCAGCAGCCGCGGUAAUAC